UACGAAGGGUGCAAGCGUUACUCGGAAUUACUGGGCGUAAAGGGUGCGUAGGUGGUUCGUUAAGUCUGAUGUGAAAGCCCUGGGCUCAACCUGGGAAUUGCAUUGGAUACUGGCGGGCUAGAGUGCGGUAGAGGGUAGUGGAAUUCCCGGUGUAGCAGUGAAAUGCGUAGAUAUCGGGAGGAACAUCCGUGGCGAAGGCGACUGCCUGGACCAACACUGACACUGAGGUGCGAAAGCGUGGGGAGCAAACAGGAUUAGAUACCCCCGUAGU
rnacentral:rRNA from 1 species